rnacentral:rRNA from 1 species
GGAUCAUUACCGAGUUUACAACUCCCAAACCCCUGUGAACAUACCUCUUGUUGCUUCGGCGGGAUCGCACCGGCGCCUCUGUGCCCGGGACCAGGCGCCCGCCGGAGGCCCCAAACUCUUGUUUUCUCCCAGUGAUAUCCUCUGAGUCUCACAAACAAAUAAAUCAAAACUUUCAACAACGGAUCUCUUGGUUCUGGCAUCGAUGAAGAACGCAGCGAAAUGCGAUAAGUAAUGUGAAUUGCAGAAUUCAGUGAAUCAUCGAAUCUUUGAACGCACAUUGCGCCCGCUAGUACUCUAGCGGGCAUGCCUGUCCGAGCGUCAUUUCAACCCUCGAGCCCCCGGGCUUGGUGUUGGGGAUCGGCCGCCGCUCACCCGGCGGCCGGCCCCGAAUUAUAGUGGCGGUCUCGCUGUAGCCUCCUCUGCGUAGUAGCACACCUCGCACUGGAACGCGGCGCGGCCACGCCGUAAAACCCCGACUUCUGAAGGUUGACCUCGGAUCAGGUAGGAAUACCCGCUGAACUUAAGCAUAUCAAUAAGCGGAGGAAAAGAAACCAACAGGGAUUGCCCUAGUAACGGCGAGUGAAGCGGCAACAGCUCAAAUUUGAAAUCUGGCCCUCGCGGUCCGAGUUGUAAUUUGUAGAGGAUGCUUUUGGUGCGGUGCCUUCCGAGUUCCCUGGAACGGGACGCCAUAGAGGGUGAGAGCCCCGUCUGGUUGGACACCAAUCCUCUGUAAAGCUCCUUCGACGAGUCGAGUAGUUUGGGAAUGCUGCUCUAAAUGGGAGGUAAAUGUCUUCUAAAGCUAAAUACCGGCCAGAGACCGAUAGCGCACAAGUAGAGUGAUCGAAAGAUGAAAAGCACUUUGAAAAGAGGGUUAAAUAGUACGUGAAAUUGUUGAAAGGGAAGCGUUUGUGACCAGACUUGGGCCCGGUUAAUCAUCCAGCGUUCUCGCUGGUGCACUUUGCCGGCCCAGGCCAGCAUCAGUUCGCCGCGGGGGACAAAAGCUGCGGGAAUGUGGCUCUUCGGAGUGUUAUAGCCCGCUGCACAAUACCCUGUGGCGGACUGAGGU